UUUUAAUAGAACCUUAAAUACAUGCAUGUCAAAGCACAUUCAAAAGUUCUUACAAUUCUGAUGUAGCAUUUUUCUCUCCCAUCAAUCAAACACCACUUAAUUAAGGUUAACCUGUUGCUCAGUCUAUUCAAAUAAAUGACAUAUGCAUUUUUACUUACUUAGAAUUUGCCAUACUCAGGAAGAAAACUAUUUGUACGUUGGAAAUGGAAAGCAUAUUGCAGUUUGGUCUUCAUUUCCACACAAAUGGCAUGUGUAAUGUUUAGUGACAAAUUAUUUGGGAGGGGAAAUUGUAUUGUAUUGUAGCAUGCAAUUUCAUACCCAGUUUAGACUAGGGAUUUGGCUGAUGUUCUGGAAUCUCAUUGUACUUUUGCGCAAAAUAAUGAGCAUCUCCCACGAAGAACUCUGCCAGGGGUUGUGAGAAAGCUGCAGAAUCCAGUUUCCCAUUCCCUGGCCCUGCUGUCUCCAUCACAUUUGUCACUGUUUUCUAUUUUCCCUUUUCCUCCUUUGCAUUGCUACGCAAAGAGAAAAGAGGAAAUAGUGAUGUCCUCAUAGGGGUUCAAAAAAAAGUGACACGGCCUUUAGUGAAAGCUUAACCACUGGAGAAUAAUUGAGAAUUACGAUUUGCUUGUGAUGUCAGAAUCAGCACUGGUUUUUGGGUUAGUGAAAACAUUCCGUCUGCCUACAGGAAGCACCAGAGAAUGUGCAGAUUCUUCAUAAGGAUGAUCCAGAAAUGGCUUGGAGUUUUAGAUGUCGUGUUGUCAUCUUGUGCGGCACCUUGACUGGGACAUCGCCUUUUGAGCCGGCGUACAGGAACCCACUCACAACCUUGUCCUGUGGAAACAUAAGCAUAUCCCCGACCCCAGUGAAGAACUUCUCCCUCAACCCAUCCUCCAGUAGGAGUGGCAGCAAACACGGGCUCACAGGCCUUUUGCAAAGGAGGGGAAGAGGCGCAAUGACGCUCUGCUGCCGAGGCAUGCAGGUCCUGCCAAGAAUUUAAAACUUAAGGGUACAGAGGGCACGGAGUAAAUGCUGGUGAGGAGAUU